ACGUAGGUGGCGAGCGUUGUCCGGAAUUAUUGGGCGUAAAGAGCAUGUAGGCGGUUUUUUAAGUCUGGAGUGAAAAUGCAGGGCUCAACCCCGUAUGGCUCUGGAUACUGGAAGACUUGAGUGCAGGAGAGGAAAGGGGAAUUCCCAGUGUAGCGGUGAAAUGCGUAGAUAUUGGGAGGAACACCAGUGGCGAAGGCGCCUUUCUGGACUGUGUCUGACGCUGAGAUGCGAAAGCCAGGGUAGCGAACGG
rnacentral:rRNA from 1 species